rnacentral:rRNA from 1 species
GAGUUUGAUCCUGGCUCAGGACGAACGCUGGCGGCGUGCUUAACACAUGCAAGUCAAGGGGUAGCAAUACCACUGGCGCACGGGUGAGUAACGCGUAGAUUAUCUGCCCCUAUCUCCGGAAUAACAUCAAGAAAUUGGUGCUAAAAACGGAUGAGGCACAAUGUGUCAAAGGUAACGGAUAGGGACGAGUCUGCGUCUGAUUAGCUAGUUGGUGAGGUAACGGCUCACCAAGGCGACGAUCAGUAGCUGGUCUGAGAGGACGAUCAGCCACACUGGAACUGAGACACGGUCCAGACUCCUACGGGAGGCAGCAGUGAGGAAUUUUUGCACAAUGGGGGAAACUCUGAUGCAGCGACGCCGCGUGCGGGAUGAAGGGGCUUUGCCUUGUAAACCGCUGUCGGGUGGGAAAAAAGUUCCCUCGGGGGACUGGGAUUGUACCACCAAAGGAAGGACCGGCUAACUACGUGCCAGCAGCCGCAGUAAG